GGCCAUCUUCAGCCUGUGUCACACGACCUUGCGUCCCCACGUCUCAUGACUGAAGACGCCAGUUGGACCUCUGCAGAGCAGGAAGAGGUGAAGGGCAGCUCGCUCUCACCCUCCCCCGCUGCAUUGCUUAGAGAUUGUGGGAAUAAUUAACGACCCUGGUCCUCGUCUCCCUCCACACGUAGAUAACGUUAGCGUCUCUGAACUUGUUUGAUGUAUGACUGAAGAUGCUUGUUUAUGUCACCCAGAUGCACCCUCUCUGGGCCUCCAACUCCUGCCCGCUCCAGACUGUGUACUGUCUGCUCCCACCCCUCACACCCCUGUUACUGGGCUCUACCUUCUGCUGGGAAGCCCACCAGUUGGCUUUGACUGGUCUGUGAACACUCAGCACUGCCCUGGCCUCUGUUCACCUCUGUUUCCAUCACGGUGGACACCCAGCUCUGUGUGACAACCUCACAUCCUUCCAGCCAUCCUCAGCUCCCCCGGAGUCCUGGUCCAGCUCCUUCUUUCACACCUCCUACCAUCCAGGAUGCUUUUAAACAGCCUCUGAGUACCACAGACAAGCUGCCACUCCCCCAGGCCACCUGCUCUGAUGCUAGCCUAGGUCCCUGCAUCUCGGCUGCUUCCAGGAGGAGGUGCCUCCUGGGCAAGGCCCUGAGUGACCACCUUAGUGUAGUCAUGCUCAGAAACUCAAAACCAGGUCCUGCUUCCUGUGAGCUCGUGAAGAUUCUGGAGACAUGGUCGGAGAGCUGACGCUGACUUCCAAAAUCUGCUCCCAGGCCAUUCCAAAAUGUCUGCCCCUGAGAGAAGGCCCGACUACCCAGCAGUUGUCCCCUGCAAUGGGGUGGGAUGGCACUCAUGGCACGAGAACUGCGGGAAGCAGGGACGUCUCCCUUGGUCUAUUUCACUCUCUUGGCAAAAAGACCACAGACCAGUGAAGAGUUCUGAUGAUGAAACUUUGCCCAGUUCUGACUCCCACUCUCUGUGGUCAGGAGCAGCCUUGGGGGGAUGCUUGUUAAGAAACAGCUAGUGAGACUACACGGCAGAACUUUGUGUCACUGAAGAACGUCGUAAAGUCUCACACCAGGACCAUUUAACUGUGUGACACUAUUCUUCUCUGGCACAAAAUGUGCCCCCAAUCCAACAAGAUUCCAGUUGCUCCUUCGUUUCUGGGCCUGAUGGUGGGUGGGAUAGAAGGAAAUUCAUGACUUCAGCCUCUAAUCUGGUAGGACAAUCAGGCACACACUGAGCUCUCUCUGUCUCUCACGACCAAGGGAGGGGGACCAACUCAGAACUGACCUGGGCCCUGGUCACAUCGAGAACAACAGGUUCCCUGCAUCAAGAUGGAGUCCCUGGGUAAGCCAUCUGUCUGAGGGGGCAGAGAUGUGGUGGGCAGGCAUUCUAGGUGCGGGCAAGAAGAGCUGAGGUGAGGGAGCAAGAGAGCCCAGGCAUGUUUGAGGAGGGCAGGCCAGAUGGUGUGGGUGACAACGGCCAAUUACUCCUCCUUUCUGUGCUUCCUCUACGUUAUUAAAAACCUGGGAUAUUACCCACAACA